CGGCCGCGUCGACGGGUGAAGUCCAGGUAACACUGGAUGGAGGCCCGAACCCACGCACGUUGAAAAGUGCGGGGAUGAGGUGAGUGUAGGAGUGAAAGGCCAAUCAAACUCGGAGAUAGCUCGUACUCCCCGAAAGGCAUUUAGGUGCCGCCUCUUACGUUCCCGAUGUGAGGUAGAGCGACUGAUAGGAUGCGAGGGCUUCACCGCCUAUCAAGUCCUGACA
rnacentral:rRNA from 1 species